UACGGGGGGGGCAAGCGUUGUUCGGAAUUACUGGGCGUAAAGGGCUCGUAGGUGGCCAACUAAGUCAGACGUGAAAUCCCUCGGCUUAACCGGGGAACUGCGUCUGAUACUGGAUGGCUUGAGUUUGGGAGAGGGAUGCGGAAUUCCAGGUGUAGCGGUGAAAUGCGUAGAUAUCUGGAGGAACACCGGUGGCGAAGGCGCUCAUCUGGCCCAAUACUGACGCUGAGGCGCGAAAGCUAGGGGAGCAAACGGG
rnacentral:rRNA from 1 species